AUGCUGGAGGUAUCAGAAGUGCGAAUGCUGACAUAAGUAACGAUAAAGCGGGUGAAAAGCCCGCUCGCCGGAAGACCAAGGGUUCCUGUCCAACGUUAAUCGGGGCAGGGUGAGUCGACCCCUAAGGCGAGGCCGAAAGGCGUAGUCGAUGGGAAACAGGUUAAUAUUCCUGUACUUGGUGUUACUGCGAAGGGGGGACGGAGAAGGCUAUGUUGGCCGGGCGACGGUUGUCCCGGUUUAAGCGUGUAGGCUGGUUUUCCAGGCAAAUCCGGAAAAUCAAGGCUGAGGCGUGAUGACGAGGCACUACGGUGCUGAAGCAACAAAUGCCCUGCUUCCAGGAAAAGCCUCUAAGCAUCAGGUAACAUCAAAUCGUACCCCAAACCGACACAGGUGGUCAGGUAGAGAAUACCAAGGCGCUUGAGAGAACUCGGGUGAAGGAACUAGGCAAAAUGGUGCCGUAACUUCGGGAGAAGGCACGCUGAUAUGUAGGUGAAGCGACUUGCUCGUGGAGCUGAAAUCAGUCGAAGAUACCAGCUGGCUGCAACUGUUUAUUAAAAACACAGCACUGUGCAAACACGAAAGUGGACGUAUACGGUGUGACGCCUGCCCGGUGCCGGAAGGUUAAUUGAUGGGGUUAGCGCAAGCGAAGCUCUUGAUCGAAGCCCCGGUAAACGGCGGCCGUAACUAUAACGGUCCUAAGGUAGCGAAAUUCCUUGUCGGGUAAGUUCCGACCUGCACGAAUGGCGUAAUGAUGGCCAGGCUGUCUCCACCCGAGACUCAGUGAAAUUGAACUCGCUGUGAAGAUGCAGUGUACCCGCGGCAAGACGGAAAGACCCCGUGAACCUUUACUAUAGCUUGACACUGAACAUUGAGCCUUGAUGUGUAGGAUAGGUGGGAGGCUUUGAAGUGUGGACGCCAGUCUGCAUGGAGCCGACCUUGAAAUACCACCCUUUAAUGUUUGAUGUUCUAACGUUGACCCGUGAUCCGGGUUGCGGACAGUGUCUGGUGGGUAGUUUGACUGGGGCGGUCUCCUCCUAAAGAGUAACGGAGGAGCACGAAGGUUGGCUAAUCCUGGUCGGACAUCAGGAGGUUAGUGCAAUGGCAUAAGCCAGCUUGACUGCGAGCGUGACGGCGCGAGCAGGUGCGAAAGCAGGUCAUAGUGAUCCGGUGGUUCUGAAUGGAAGGGCCAUCGCUCAACGGAUAAAAGGUACUCCGGGGAUAACAGGCUGAUACCGCCCAAGAGUUCAUAUCGACGGCGGUGUUUGGCACCUCGAUGUCGGCUCAUCACAUCCUGGGGCUGAAGUAGGUCCCAAGGGUAUGGCUGUUCGCCAUUUAAAGUGGUACGCGAGCUGGGUUUAGAACGUCGUGAGACAGUUCGGUCCCUAUCUGCCGUGGGCGCUGGAGAACUGAGGGGGGCUGCUCCUAGUACGAGAGGACCGGAGUGGACGCAUCACUGGUGUUCGGGUUGUCAUGCCAAUGGCACUGCCCGGUAGCUAAAUGCGGAAGAGAUAAGUGCUGAAAGCAUCUAAGCACGAAACUUGCCCCGAGAUGAGUUCUCCCUGACUCUUUAAGGGUCCUGAAGGAACGUUGAAGACGACGACGUUGAUAGGCCGGGUGUGUAAGCGCAGCGAUGCGUUGAGCUAACCGGUACUAAUGAACCGUGAGGCUUAACCUU
rnacentral:rRNA from 1 species